rnacentral:lncRNA from 1 species
AAAAAGGUGAAAUAUGUGUAGAAAAUAGCUGUUAUUGCCUUUGACCCAGUUGAUUUGAAUGAUAAAUGUUGCUCCAAGUUGCUAUAUGUAUUUCCAUGACUUUGCUUUAGUUUUGAUAGCAAGAAAUUUGUCCAUCUGCUACUGUGGAGUAGCAGACCUACCUAUCAAGAAAAAAUGAAUUCUGAAAGUUGAAUGCAUUUGCUCCUUAGAUAAUGUGCCUAAUUGAAAAAAUUAUAGUUCCAACUUCC